rnacentral:RNase_P_RNA from 2 species
UCAGAGGAUCGGGCGAUCGCGUCGGCCUUGGCCGCCGAGGAAAGUCCGGGCUCCACGGAACGCGGUGCCGGGUAACGCCCGGCGGGGGCGACCCCAGGGACAGUGCCACAGAGAGCAGACCGCCGAUGGGCGCCUUCGGGCACCACAGGCAAGGGUGAAAGGGUGCGGCAAGAGCGCACCGCGCGACGGGCAACCGAAGCGGCACGGCAAACCCCACCGGGAGCAAGACCGAAUAGGCACGCGAUGGGCUUUACGCCCGGGGCAGGAACCGGCCUUUUCGCGUGCGGGUUGGUUGCUUGAGGCGUGCGGCAACGCACGUCCUAGAGGAAUGAUCGUCGUUGGGCGCAAGCCCUUCACAGAACCCGGCUUAUAGAUCCUCUGACCGC